rnacentral:rRNA from 1 species
AUGAUCGAUGACGGAGAGGUGGCCUACUUCACUUACAACAGAGCCGACGACUCGGCCCCGGCGAGGUCGCACUGGAAGCUCGACCACACGGGCGAGGUGAUGUUCAGCGUGUGGGUUGAGGGGUCGUCGUCGUCGUGGGUGCCCCUGUUCGAGCGGCCGAGCAAGGGGUGCCUCGUCUACGGCGCGUGCGGGCCGUUCGGCUACUGCGAGGUCGAAGGGGCCGUCCGGGAGUGCAGGUGCCUCGUCGGGUUCGAGCCGGCCGACGGCGGCGACUCCUCCAAAGCAGGGUGCGUGAGGAAGGAGGCGCUGAGAUGCGGCGGCAACAACUACUUCGGUCCCUCCAAGGAGGGGGGUCGCUAG